GACGUCUUCCUGAUGACAGCGGUGAGGCAGAACUGCAAUUCUGCCAGCAUUAUCGUAUUGUCCUUGAUGUGAAUAAUCAUCAAGAUGAGGGAUAUAUGUUUUUUCUUUUUCUUUCAAGUAACUAAUUCAUCUCUUAUCCUUAAUUACAUGAAUUUCAGAUAUUUAAACAUUUUUUGAAGAACUGGAGGAGGAAUUUUUAAGAGAUGUAAGUGGAGAAGCUAUCCUUUCACUGGUGCAUUAUAGACAUUACAUUGUACGUAUGAGUUACUCAACGAAAUGAUGGACUUUGGUUACCUGCAAUACACUGAAGCUAAGAUUCUCGGUGAGUUUAUUAAGACAGAUGCAUACAAGACAGAAGUUACACAAAGGUCUCUGAUGGCUGUCACAAAUGCAGUGUCUUAGCGCAGUGAAGGGUUGUGAUACAACAAUAAUGAAGUGCUUUUGGCCAUGGUUGAAAGUGUCAAUAUACUUGUCAACAGCAAUUGACAGAUUAUCCAUUCUGAUGUUGUUGGGGCAUCGGAAAUGAGAACAUAUUUGAGGUAAAGCCUCCGAUCUGGGAUGCUCAAGUCAAGAGGCACUCAAGAAGUCACCUACAGAUCAUGGAAAAAGCGAAAAGUCAGUUUUAAGUUUUAGGAAAGGAGCACUGCGACAAACGUGGUAAGUGAGCUGAGCUGCCCGUCACUUCAGAAGCCACCAAUCCUAUCAUAGGUUCUGCUGCAUAUGCACCUGAGAAUGAUGCAUUAGUCUGGAAAAUAAAAUCUUUUCCUGGUGGAAAGGUACGGGAUGUAACUUCUCUUUCCGGAUUAAUAGGAGGUACCAUCAAGUCAAGUUUACAUUUAAACUUUUUUUUCUUCAUGAUUCUUGUGUGAUUCUUUGCUACACGUGGGAGUACAUGUGUCGGGCAGAAUGUAGAAAUGACAGCUGAAGCAGCAGCUCCCGAGAAGAAGGCUUCUCCUAUACGUGUGAAGUUUGAGAUCCUAUAUUUCACUACCUCUGAGAUGCUGGUGUUUUGGUCUUUCGGAGUCUCUAUAUCAAACUACCAUAUGAACCAGUCGUUGAUGCAUCUAUUAUAUUGGUUACCCUGGUCCGGUAUCUCAUAAGUAUCAUAAAGAGUGGAUACCAAGCUUUUCCAUGGGUGAGACACAUCACAGUGGCUGGUGACUAUGAGCGAAGACUCAUCUAGCUCACUACAUUCCUGCCGUCUGGCAUUGGAAAACCAAUAUGCAAGACUAUAGAAGCUUGUACUGUAGUUACUGGAUAAUUUCCAAGUUUGGCGUUGGUAUGUGCAGUAGAAAGGUCAUCUUGCCUUUACUAUCUUAUAUGAAAUUGUUUGCGAGCAUGAAAUGCUAUUCCCAAGAGAAUUAUGUAUUUA